rnacentral:rRNA from 1 species
UCAGAAACUACAAGGAAUUGACGGGGGCCGGCCACAAGACGGAGGAACAUGUGGUUUAAUUCGAUGAUACGCGAGGAACCUUACCCGGGCUUGAAAUGCAUCUGACCGGCCUUGAAAGAGGUUUUUCCCCUUCGGGCAGAUGUGUAGGUGCUGCAUGGUUGUCGUCAGCUCGUGCCGUGAGGUGUCGGCUUAAGUGCCAUAACGAGCGCAACCCUCAUCAUUAGUUACCAUCAGGUAAAGCUGGGGACUCUAAUGAGACUGCCAUCGUAAGAUGUGAGGAAGGUGGGGAUGACGUCAAAUCAGCACGGCCCUUACGUCCGGGGCGACACACGUGUUACAAUGGGUGGUACAAAGGGCAGCUACCUGGCGACAGGAUGCUAAUCUCCAAAACCACUCUCAGUUCGGAUCGGAGUCUGCAACUCGACUCCGUGAAGCUGGAUUCGCUAGUAAUCGCGCAUCAGCCACGGCGCGGUGAAUACGUUCCCGGGCCUU